CAGAAAAUAGCUUUUUUAAUUUUAAAAAUUGAACUUUUUUUAAUUUGUGCAGAAACAAUUAUUUUAAUUAAGGACAAGAAGACCCUAAGAAUUUUUGAAUUUAAAUAAUAUAUUUAUGUAUUAAUUAAAUUUUAGCUGGGGCGGCUAAGAAAUAUUAAAAACUUUUUAAUUUAAAGCGACCCAUUAUUAAUGAUUAUAUGAAAAAAUACUCUAGGGAUAACAGCGUUAUAUUUUUUGAUAGACCAUAUUGACAAAA
rnacentral:rRNA from 1 species